rnacentral:rRNA from 1 species
GCGGAGGAAAAGAAACCAACAGGGAUUGCCUCAGUAACGGCGAGUGAAGCGGCAAAAGCUCAAAUUUUAAAGCUGGCAUCUUCGGUGUCCGCGUUGUAAUUUUGUGAGGCAUCUCCGGGUAGGGCGCCGGCCUAAGUUCCUUGGAACAGGACGUCACAGAGGGUGAGAAUCCCGUGCUUGGCUGGCUGUCCCCGUCCAUGUGAGGUGUCUUCGACGAGUCGAGUUGUUUGGGAAUGCAGCUCAAAAUGGGUGGUAAAUUUCAUCUAAAGCUAAAUAUUGGUGGGAGACCGAUAGCGCACAAGUAGAGUGAUCGAAAGAUGAAAAGCACUUUGAAAAUAGAGUUAAAAAGUACGUGAAAUUGUUGAAAGGGAAGCGCUUGAGAUCAGACUUCGGUAGGGGGUGAUCAGCCGUCCUUCUGGGCGGUGCACUUGCCCCUCUCCGGGCCAGCAUCGGUUGAGGCGGCGGGAUAAAGGUCCCGGGAAUGUGGCUCCUUCGCGGGAGUGUUAUAGCCCGGGUGAAUGCCGCCAGUCUCGACCGAGGACCGCACCCGCAAGGGUUAGGAUGCUUGGCAUAAUGGUCUUCAGCGACCCGUCU